CCUACGGGAGGCAGCAGUGAGGAAUCUUUCACAAUGGACGCAAGCCUGAUCCAGCCAUGCCGCGUGCGGGAAGACGGCUCUAUGAAUUGUAAACUGCUUUUGUACGAGGGUAAACGCAGAUACGCGUAUCUGUCUGAAAGGAUCGUACGAAUACGGAUCCGCGAACUCCGUGCCAGCAGCCGCGGUAAUACGGAGGAUGAAAGCGUUAUCCGGAUUUAUUGGGUUUAAAGGGUGCGUAGGCGGUCGGAUAAGUUAGAGGUGAAAUCCCGGGGCUCAACUUCGGAAUUGCCUAUGAUACUGUGCGGCUAGAGAGUAGGUGCGGUAGGCGGAAUGUAUGGUGUAGCGGUGAAAUGCGUAGAGAUC
rnacentral:rRNA from 1 species